AGCCUGAACGCUGGCGGCGUGGCUAAGACAUGCAAGUCGCACGGACGUAGCAAUACGUUAGUGGCGAACGGGUGAGUAAUGAAUCGCUAAUGUGCCCCGGACUCUGAGAUAGCUAUCCGAAAGGGUAGGUAAUAUCAGAUGAUAUGCAGCGGUCGCAUGACCGUUGCCUCAAAGGUCCGCCGGUCUGGGAGCAGGCGAUUUUGAUCAGCUAGUUGGUGAGGUAACGGCUCACCAAGGCGACGACGCAUAGCCGGACUGAGAGGUUGGCCGGCCACAUUGGGACUGAGACACUGCCGAGACUCCUACGGGGGGCUGCAGUAACGAAUCUUCCGCAAUGUACGAAAGUAUGACGGAGCGACGCCGCGUGUAGGACGAAGCCCUUCGGGGUGUAAACUACUGUCAGGGGUUAGAAAGUUCUGAUCAACCCCAGAGGAAGGGACGGCUAACUCUGCGCCAGCAGCCGCGGU
rnacentral:rRNA from 1 species